rnacentral:tRNA from 1 species
GCGCCAGUAGCUCAGUCGGAUAGAGCGCCGGUCUACGAAACCGGAGGUCGCAGGUUCGAAUCCUGCCUGGCGCA